GCCACCGCUGCUGCUGCCGUCUCCGAUUCCGCCCGACCCCGUGGUCCUCCGCCACCAGGGAUGCCCUAGAUGAGUUCCCCUUUGCUCCUUCACUCUUUUCCCCCUAUCCGCAGUCUCCCACGCCCCAGAACGCCGGUCGGCCGGUCAGUGCCGCCGGUAGCCAUGGACAGGAGCUCUUUUGAGCUCCUCUGUUUAUGGCCCUAGCAAAUAACUGGUUUAUUUGCUGCUAUCUUGUCAAAAGUUGACAUAUACUACAAUAUUCCUUUUGUAAUAAAAUUUGGCAAUCUUGUCAUGAUUGUCUGAUCUUAAUUAUAACAACAUUGUGGAGAACAAAAGAAUGGAAACUCCUUUUUUUUUAAGAGUGAAUGCGAGCUAUUUAUGAAGUAAGCAGAUGGCAUAACUGUCAACUGCACAAAGUCAUAUGAUUUCGAAGGAUACCAGACAUUAUUAGAAGUCUCUUAUUGUUCCAACAAUGUACCUUUCAGGAUAAUCAAUGAUAGGAUCUCAAGAAGUGAUGGCACUGUGAUCGAAUGAGGGAAUAGAAGAACUGUCAUUCUUCAGUGCUGAGAACAACAAGGGAAGAAUAGUUCAUGACAAGAUGGGCACCCACGCUUUAUUUUUUUUACAACUAUUUGUUUUCAUACCAUACAGCGUUUAACGGCUGCACUGACAUUUCAUCUACUUCACCAGUUUAGUACGCAUUUACUCACAAACCAAGUUUUCUAGCUAUGAAGUCCACUGGUGGAAAGUUGCUUGUAUUUCAGUCAGUGUUUCUACAAAAGGCCACCAACAUUACCCAUGCUGAUGCAUCACUAGGGAAUGAAAUUUGUUCAGUAAACACAUCAGUUGAAGCUUCCCUUUCCAUCCAGCAACAACCUCACGGUUAGACACUGAACUACUGUCAUACUAAGAUGAAUAGACUGUUUCCUAUAAGGCAUAAUCAGAAUCAGCUUUGUAACACCCAGCUGUUAAUCCACUGUAAUUAAACUAAUCAUGGCCAUUAGGUUCAAACUUACGCGACAAAUCACUGAACCAAAGUUUCUCUUGUCA